CAGAUAUCUACAAUCAGCGGUCGAAUUAAAAACAGUGCAGAAGGAUGUUUUGAGGAAAAAGAAUCGUACGUGGUACGAAUUUAUCGGCACAAUCUGAUCAAGGACGGAGGCAUCAUCAAACGGAAACUACGCGAGAAACUUUUCGAAGAGAUAAAACUGCGCCGCAACACUCGUGUCAAACAGGACGAGUUGGGCUGGGUGCUGAUGAACCACGAUUUGAUAACACGUAAUGAGCCAAUCCAACAGCAUGCCAAUGGUAAUCGACCAAAUCAUUUUAAAUUCAACAUGGAGCGGUUGCGAAACCUACUGGAGCAGCACGAACAGAACAAUCACGCUGAGUUGACUUCCGAAAAGCAAAACAAAUUCCUGCGUAUGCUGGAUGCAAUUUUACAAAACGAAAAAGUUUUGAAGGAAAAGGAAAAGGAAAUAAGAGAUGGUAGUGGCGAAUCGACUUCUAUCGGAAAUUCGUUAUGUGACUGCGGUGGAAAGUAUGCUGAAACACAAUUUGGACCCCUCUUUGCGCUGCUGCUUUGUAUGCUGAGAGUAUUUCCGCACUGCCGAUGAGUAUACCAGUCAUUUCGAAAAAUUGCACCGUGAGAAAUUUCUUAUUGUUGCGGCGGUGGAUCGAUUUCAGACUAGUCAAAAGUUCAACGUUCUACAUCCCUACAAUGCCCUUAAUCCGGUGACAAUAUUCACGAUUUGCAACGUAUACCACACAGCCCUAAUAA